rnacentral:rRNA from 1 species
ACGGAAGGCAGCAGUGGGGAAUAUUGGGCAAUGGGCGCAAGCCUGACCCAGCAACGCCGCGUGAAGGAAGAAGGCUUUCGGGUUGUAAACUUCUUUUAAGGGGGAAGAGUAGAAGACUGUACCCCUAGAAUAAGCCACGGCUAACUACGUGCCAGCAGCCGCGGUAAUACGUAGGUGGCAAGCGUUGUCCGGAUUUACUGGGUGUAAAGGGCGUGUAGCCGGGGAGGCAAGUCAGAUGUGAAAUCUAUGGGCUUAACCCAUAAACUGCAUUUGAAACUGUUUCUCUUGAGUGCUGGAGGGGCAAUCGGAAUUCCUUGUGUAGCGGUGAAAUGCGUAGAUAUAAGGAAGAACACCAGUGGCGAAGGCGGAUUGCUAGACAGUAACUGACGGUGAGGCGCGAAAGUGUGGGGAGCAAAUAGGAUUAGAUACCCUGGUA